rnacentral:rRNA from 1 species
UACGUAGGGGGCAAGCGUUGUUCGGAAUUACUGGGCGUAAAGGGCGCGUAGGCGGCCUGGCAAGUCGGGAGUGAAAGCCCGGGGCUCAACCCCGGUAUGUCUUCCGAUACUGCCCGGCUAGAGUGCGGAAGGGGCAACCGGAAUUCCCAGUGUAGCGGUGAAAUGCGUAGAUAUUGGGAAGAACACCGGAGGCGAAGGCGGGUUGCUGGGCCGACACUGACGCUGAGGCGCGAAAGCCAGGGGAGCAAACGGG